AUACGGAGGGUCCAAGCGUUAUCCGGAAUCAUUGGGUUUAAAGGGUUCGUAGGCGGGUCAAUAAGUCAGAGGUGAAAUCUUGCAGCUUAACUGUAAAAUUGCCUUUGAUACUGUUGACACUGAAUUACUGUGAAGUGGUUAGAAUAUGUAGUGUAGCGGUGAAAUGCUUAGAGAUUACAUAGAAUACCGAUUGCGAAGGCAGAUCACUAACAGUAUAUUGACGCUGAUGAACGAAAGCGUGGGUAGCGAACGGGAUUAGAAACCCUAGUAGUCC
rnacentral:rRNA from 1 species